UGGGUUUGACAUCACCCGGAAACACUCAGAGAUGGGUGCCUCUUCGGACUGGGUGACAGGUGGUGCAUGGCUGUCGUCAGCUCGUGUCGUGAGAUGUUGGGUUAAGUCCCGCAACGAGCGCAACCCUUGCCCCAUGUUGCCAGCAGGCGGUCCUUUGGAUCGUGCUGGGGACUCGUGGGGGACUGCCGGGGUUAACUCGGAGGAAGGUGGGGAUGACGUGUCGUUACCUUA
rnacentral:misc_RNA from 1 species